GUGACGGGUCAAUCACGGGUAAGGUAACAUCUUCAUAAGACUGAUUGGUCGACCUACAAAAACAAAAAUCAUAAUUCAAAAGAGUAACAACAGGAAAAUUGGAUUAUUAGAUUCAAUAAAAUCCAUGAAACUUUCGUAAUUAUUACUCUAAUAUACAAACAUGAUGUCCCGAGAACUUCCAAUCUCUCUAUAAGCACCAAAUGCUAAAGUAAAUAAUCAAUAAGCAUCGAAUAAUUAACUGUUAAAUCAACAUAAAGAUGGUAAAUUGAAGGGAACUUCAUAAAAAAAAUCCAUAAAUCCAUCUGGAGUGAUCAACAGUUGCUGAGUUGUGUGAUAUUGAAUCUUGCAAAGUCACUCAAGCAAAUGAUCAAACACUUGAUGGUGGUUUCGUUUGAAGAACGACGGUCAAUCGAGGUCAACAACAACGUUUCUCUUGUUCCCUUCUUCAUAUGAAAUGUCGUUUGAAUCACAAUUCUUAGAUCGGUUGAAUCGAUACAAAGUUAAAAUAAGUAAGAAAGAGCAUUGAAGGCUAUAAUAAUAAUAAUAAUAAUAAUAAUAAUAAUAAUAAUAAUAAUAAUAAUAAUAAUAAAGUACAUAUCUGUUUCUUGCAUUUAGCCCUUAAGAAUUGUGAAAAUGCCGUUAACCUAUCACACCCAUAAGGGUUUAUAUUUAGCAAGUAGAUAUUGUAAUUUAUGAGCCUUACUUUUAGCAACAAGAAACCCUAAACAAAAAACAACCCCACUUGCAUGGACAAUUUGUUUAUACAACCUGAUGACUUAAGUAUCAAUUUGGUGCAAAAUAUUGAAGGUUUACAUCACACAGAACACAUUAAAUUAUGGCUAGAUGCAAGAAAUAGCAGUAAACUUUCGUUAAUUAGUUUAAUAUAGCAUCCUACUUUCAUUUCUUCCUAUUACAAUAUUGUACUUUCAAAACCCAACCCAAUUGAAUAUUUGUUUUCUCCUAAACCCUAAAACAUAUCAUCGAAGCCAAACCAACCGAGCUGCAACGUGAUACCAAUUCUAUCUGUUUCAAAAAGUUUUUAAAAAUAUAUUUUUUACCUUAAAAUGUAAGACAAAUAAACAACGCGGUACUAAUAUUGUAAUAAGAUUGUCAUGUAAAUCUUCUUCUUCUUCAUCCACAUUCACAACCCGUCUAGUUCUGUGGUAUGUAACCAAACCAUUCACCACACCAACUUUCUCAAUAUUAGCUAGUUACCUGAACAUGGUAGAAAUUCAAUUGCUAUUACUGACACUAAUCAAUGUACCAAUAUUGUCAAAGCAAAAAUAAAUGAACUUGAUGAUUUCAGAGAAACAACAAAUAUGAGAAAGUCAAAGAAAGUUCAUACCCAUAAGCAUUCAAGGUAUCGUGUUCAUGAAAAAUAACCAUAAAGGUUGAACAUAGAAGCAUAUCUAGUUUUGGAUUAAAAAAAUGAAUAAAAAAGGUAAUGUAGAAUCACCAAAUCAUGUAUUAUACCAAGUCCAAUGACCAUACCGUUGUAGGCAAGAUGAGUAUACGUCCAUAGAUUAAAGAUCAGUAACUUCAAUCUUCAAUCUCUAUUCAUGAUAUGAAACAAAUAA
rnacentral:lncRNA from 1 species